UGGAUCUCCCAUUGCUGCCUGCCUGC
rnacentral:piRNA from 1 species